rnacentral:rRNA from 1 species
UACGUAGGGGGCAAGCGUUGUCCGGAAUCAUUGGGCGUAAAGCGCGUGUAGGCGGCUUGGUAAGUCCGUUCUGAAAGCCCGGGGCUCAACCCUCGGAUGCCGGUGGAUACUGUCGGGCUUGAGUACGGAAGAGGCGAGUGGAAUUCCUGGUGUAGCGGUGAAAUGCGCAGAUAUCAGGAGGAACACCAAUUGCGAAGGCAGCUCGCUGGGACGUAACUGACGCUGAGACGCGAAAGCGUGGGGAGCAAACAGG